GGGGCUGUUUUGGUUUCGACAUUUAAAAUUAUUUAAGGUAUGAUGCAGGUCGAAGCUAGUAUUCUUCGUAAAAACAAACAAAUUUAUAAUAACUGCUAAUAAUAUAAUGACAUUUAGUCGCAACGAAGUAUUUGCAUAAAAUAACUAUUCUUUUUUAUUAAAAAAGAAUUCAUUCACUAUAUAUAAUUUACUUUUGAUUAUUUAUAGUUUAGAAUAACACUACAAAAAUUAAAAUGUUCGAAUUCAUGAACUAAGCCUGUGAACGAGUACUUUAAGUAUUUUUAGAUGGACAUGGGUUCAAUUCCCAUCAGCUCCA
rnacentral:tmRNA from 1 species